rnacentral:rRNA from 1 species
CCUACGGGACGCAGCAGUGAGGAAUAUUGGUCAAUGGGCGGGAGCCUGAACCAGCCAAGUCGCGUGAAGGAAGAAGGUACUUAGUAUUGUAAACUUCUUUUGUCGGGGAACAAAGGCGGAGACGCGUCUCCGGAUGAGUGUACCCGAAGAAAAAGCAUCGGCUAACUCCGUGCCAGCAGCCGCGGUAAUACGGAGGAUGCGAGCGUUAUCCGGAUUCAUUGGGUUUAAAGGGUGCGCAGGCGGGCCUUUCAGCCGGCGGUGAAAUCGCGGGGCUCAAUC